CAGAGAACACUACAAACUGAUGUCCUGUGUUUGCAGAGCUGGAGGAGCUGGGACAGCAGCUGCCUUCCCACCAUGCACAGCGACAGUGCUUCAUCCUUGCCCUAGGAGGCCGUUUCCCAGGAUGAGAGGAUAAUUCACUCUCUAUAGCCCAUUCAAUCUUCAGCCUCU
rnacentral:sRNA from 1 species